GCCAUAGUUCAAUGGUAGAGCAUCUGUUUUGCAUGCAGAAGGUCCCAGGUUCAGUUCUCAGCAUCAGCU